GAUGAAGAACGCAGCAAAAUGCGAUAAGUAAUGCGAAUUGCAGAAUUCAGUGAAUCAUCGAAUCUUUGAACGCACAUUGCGCCCGCCAGUAUUCUGGCGGGCAUGCCUGUCUGAGCGUCGUUUCGACCCUCGCGCCCGGCUUCUGUCGGGGGCGGUGUUGGGGAUCGGCCACACCCUUCAGUGGGAGGCCGGCCCCUAAAUUCAGUGGCGACCACGCUGUAGCCUCCCCUGCGUAGUACUAAAACCACCUCGCAGGCGGAGAGCGGUGCGGCCCGCCGUAAAACCCCCCAACUUUUACAAGGUCGACCUCAGAUCAGGUAGGAAUACCCGCUGAACUUAAGCAUAUCAAUAAGCGGAGGA
rnacentral:misc_RNA from 1 species